rnacentral:rRNA from 1 species
GUUGAUAAGGUUAAGUGAAUAAGGGCGCACGGUGGAUGCCUUGGCACUAGGAGCCGAUGAAGGACGGGACUAACACCGAUAUGCUUUGGGGAGCUGUACGUAAGCUAUGAUCCAGAGAUUUCCGAAUGGGGGAACCCAGCAUCUUUUAUAGGAUGUUACGUUUGCGUGAAUACAUAGCGCAUUCGAGGUAGACGCAGAGAACUGAAACAUCUAAGUACCUGCAGGAAGAGAAAGAAAAUUCGAUUCCCUGAGUAGCGGCGAGCGAAACGGGAAAAGCCCAAACCAAUGAGCUUGCUCAUUGGGGUUGUAGGACUCCAAUAUGGUAGUUCUUUCAGAUAGUCGAAUGACUUGGAAAAGUCAGUCAAAGAGGGUAAAAACCCCGUAGAUGAAAUUUGGAAGGCACCUAGGAGGAUCCUGAGUACGGCGGAACACGAGGAAUUCCGUCGGAAUCCGGGAGGACCAUCUCCCAAGGCUAAAUACUCCCUAGUGACCGAUAGUGAACCAGUACCGUGAGGGAAAGGUGAAAAGCACCCCGGAAGGGGAGUGAAAUAGAACCUGAAACCGUGUGCCUACAACAAGUCAAAGCCCGUUAAUGGGUGAUGGCGUGCCUUUUGUAGAAUGAACCGGCGAGUUACGAUUGCAUGCGAGGUUAAGUUGAAGAGACGGAGCCGCAGCGAAAGCGAGUCUGAAUAGGGCGUUUGAGUAUGUAGUCGUAGACCCGAAACCAUGUGAUCUACCCAUGUCCAGGUUGAAGGUGCGGUAAAACGCACUGGAGGACCGAACCCACGUACGUUGAAAAGUGCGGGGAUGAGGUGUGGGUAGCGGAGAAAUUCCAAACGAACUUGGAGAUAGCUGGUUCUCUCCGAAAUAGCUUUAGGGCUAGCCUCGGAAUUGAGAAUGAUGGAGGUAGAGCACUGUUUGGACUAGGGGCCCAUCUCGGGUUACCGAAUUCAGAUAAACUCCGAAUGCCAUUCAUUCAUAUCCGGGAGUCAGACUGUGAGUGAUAAGAUCCAUAGUCGAAAGGGAAACAGCCCAGACCACCAGCUAAGGUCCCAAAAUAUAUGUUAAGUGGAAAAGGAUGUGGGGUUGCACAGACAACUAGGAUGUUGGCUUAGAAGCAGCCACCAUUUAAAGAGUGCGUAAUAGCUCACUAGUCGAGUGACCCUGCGCCGAAAAUGUACCGGGGCUAAACAUAUUACCGAAGCUGUGGAGUACACCUUUAGGUGUAUUGGUAGGAGAGCGUUCUAAGGGCGUUGAAGGCAGAUCGUGAGGACUGCUGGAGCGCUUAGAAGUGAGAAUGCCGGUAUGAGUAGCGAAAGACAGGUGAGAAUCCUGUCCACCGAAUGACUAAGGUUUCCUGGGGAAGGCUCGUCCGCCCAGGGUUAGUCGGGACCUAAGCCGAGGCCGACAGGCGUAGGCGAUGGACAACAGGUUGAUAUUCCUGUACUCGUUGUUUUUGUUUGAGCAAUGGAGGGACGCAGGAGGCUAAGGAAUGCAGACGAUUGGAAAUGUCUGUCUAAGCAGUAAGUCUUGAUAGGAGUCAAAUGCUUCUGUCUGUACGGACAAGCUGUGAUGGGGAGGGAAAUAAUAGUACCGAAGUUCCUGAUGUCACACUGCCGAGAAAAGCUUCUAGUGAGAAAACAACGACCCGUACCGCAAACCGACACAGGUAGUCGAGGAGAGAAUCCUAAGGUGAGCGAGAGAACUCUCGUUAAGGAACUCGGCAAAAUGACCCCGUAACUUCGGGAGAAGGGGUGCUGAUCUAAGAUCAGCCGCAGUGAAUAGGCCCAAGCGACUGUUUAUCAAAAACACAGGUCUCUGCAAAAUCGUAAGAUGAAGUAUAGGGGCUGACGCCUGCCCGGUGCUGGAAGGUUAAGAGGAGUGCUUAGCGUAUGCGAAGGUACGAAUUGAAGCCCCAGUAAACGGCGGCCGUAACUAUAACGGUCCUAAGGUAGCGAAAUUCCUUGUCG